GCUGGGCAUGGUGGCACACGCCUGUAAUCCCAGUGGCUCAGGAGGCUGAGGCAGGAGGCUCUGGAGUUCAAAGCCAGCCUCAGCAACUUAGCGAGUCCCUGAGAAAUUCAGUGAGACCCUGUCUCUA
rnacentral:sRNA from 1 species